GAUGAACGCUGGCGGCGUGCCUAAUACAUGCAAGUCGAGCGAACAGACGAUGAGCUUGCUCCUCUGACGUUAGCGGCGGACGGGUGAGUAACACGUGGAUAACCUACCUAUAAUACUGGUAUAACUUCGGGAAACCGGAGCUAAUACCGGAUAAUAUAUUGAACCGCAUGGUUCAAUAGUGAAAGACGGUUUUGCUGUCACUUAUAGAUGGAUCCGCGCCGCAUUAGCUAGUUGGUAAGGUAACGGCUUACCAAGGCGACGAUGCGUAGCCGACCUGAGAGAGUGAUCGGCCACACUGGAACUGAGACACGGUCAAGACUCCUACGGGAGGGAGCAGUAGGGAAUCUUCCGCAAUGGGCGAAAGCAUGACGGAGCAACGGCGAGUGAGUGAUGAAGGUCUUCGGAUCGUAAAACUCUGUUAUUAGGGAAGAACAAAUGUGUAAGUAACUAUGCACGUAUUGACGGUACCUAAUAAGAAAGCCACGGCUAACUACGUG
rnacentral:rRNA from 1 species